rnacentral:lncRNA from 1 species
ACAGGCUGCCUGCCACCUCGCCCUCGGCUAAGUUUUUGUAUUUUUAGUAGAGACGGGGUUUCACCAUAUUACCCAGGAUGGUCUCGAUCUCCUGACCUCGUGAUCCGCCCGUCUCGGCCUCCCAAAGUGCUGGGAUUACAGGCUUGAGCCACCGCGCCCGGCCUUGAGAAUUGGUUUUUAAACUUUUUCUUUUCCCCAGUAGCUCAACUCUUCAGAUUAUUCAAAUGACCUAUAUGAAAAACAGAGAAAAUCCAAGUAUUUCUGGUUGAAAUGGAGAAGCAGGGCUGGAGUGCGCCUCCCUCCAACUCCCCGCUUUAACUCCCUAAGGUUGGUGGGACGACCAGCUCUAAGAUCUCAGAAGGCUGACCCGCUGUGUGCUAAGAACAAAGCAGAAGGCAGCAAGGUUUGCACACGCUGCUUGCAGUUACUUAGGCACAUUAAAAGAUCAGUGGGUGACUGGACUGAAUCUGAUAGUCGGAGCUUUUAAGCUUCCAAGUAGGUGACUUUCACAGCAACCGAAGUGCUGAGCAGGCAGCCUCUUUGUGCAAGGAGGAGGUUCCAGCCACGUUCGAAGAGAAAUGAGGACCCCAGAGAGAGGAAGCCCAGAAGACUCCCUUACCCUCUCCACAUCUAGAAAGAGGAAAUUGCCACCCUACCUUUCCAGACCAGGGGCUCCAGGUCUUGAAGGGACUGCCCACAAUCUCACAGGUGUUUGGCUUCCAGGUUCAAUUAGUUGCCACGCCCUGGGGGGAACUCAGGUCCUCCAUCUCCCUCCCCACCCCACCCCCUAGGAAGCUCUCUGGCCUUGGCUCCAAGCAGGUGUGCUCAAGAGGCUGCAGACUGGGCCACCUGGCAGCCCCAGGUGCUGCGUGCCUGCUGCCAUGGAGACAGGCCCCUGGGUUGGUGGCAAGAAGGCAGUCUCCCAAAGCUUUGCCAAUUCAGGGGAGGGAGCGACUGGAGCCUCAGGCCCUCCAGUGUAGUCUGCCUGACCACCCUGGAACCCACAGAAGCCCAGGACGUCUCCCGCGAGGC